GACGAACGCUGGCGGCGUGCUUAACACAUGCAAGUCGAACGGAAAGGCCCCUUUGGGGUACUCGAGUGGCGAACGGGUGAGUAACACGUGAGUAACCUGCCCUUGACUUCGGGAUAACUUCAGGAAACUGGGGCUAAUACCGGAUAGGAAUCCUUGCUGCAUGGUGGGGGUUGGAAAGCUUCGGCGGUUUUGGAUGGACUCGCGGCUUAUCAGCUUGUUGGUGGGGUAGUGGCUUACCAAGGCUUUGACGGGUAGCCGGCCUGGGAGGGCGACCGGCCACAUUGGGACUGGGAUACGGCCCAGACUCCUACGGGAGGCAGCGGUGGGGAAUAUUGCACAAUGGGCGGAAGCCUGAUGCAGCAACGCCGCGUGCGGGAUGACGGCCCUCGGGUUGUAAACCGCUUUCAGCAGGGGCGAAGCUUGUGGUGACGGUACCUGCAGAAGAAGCACCGGCUAACUACGUG
rnacentral:rRNA from 1 species